CACUGCGCAUCGUGUUUGAAGCAGGACUGCUCGCUUGUUUAAAUGAAAAGUGUAUAUGUGUAUUCAUACUUCUAAAGAGCAAAACUAAAAACAAACUUAUAUAAUAAUAUUAAUAAUAAUAAAUAAUAAUAAUAAUAUAUAUAUAAACCUCUGCAAAUAAUUCAGUUUCCGGUUCUGUUGGGAUGGCAUUCCCGGUAUGAUUAAUGGCGACCUGCAUCGCUACGCCGCGCGAUUAUCAGCCGAAAAUAAUGGAUUGUCGAUCCUGCCGCCUUUACCUGAUACAAACGGAUCGCCAGUGGUAGUCCGUCUAUCCGUCACACUUCGCGACAUUAUCACGAGUUAGGUAAUGUCCGCAGGUCACGUAUCCAUAUUUAAAUCGGCAAAAAAAAAAACGAUAAACAUUUUCACUUCUACGACUAUCUAUCUCUCUUUUCUCUCUCUAUCUCUAUCUCUUUCGAAUUUCUUUCUAGUGUUAGUUAUUGUCCGAUAUGUGUUAAAGUCAUCUUUCGUGUGGCGCGAGUAUUAUGCGGAUUGUGGGCCCAUCAUGAUCACUGGCGAUUCAUAGACUUGUUAACCAUUAUCGGACACUUGUUGCAUCAUGUAAUGUGCUAGCUUUUACUCUCCCUGUGACACACCGUGGUGUAUAUGUGUGUGUCACGUGUGUCUCGCUUGUGUCGUCUUAGACUAGACACACGUGUCACAGAUGGAACUUGCAGUUCUGGAUUCGGGUACCAGAACACAAGUUCCCCACCUUCGCUCGAUUUAUCCCUCAUAUAAAAAGAAGUCAAUGGUAGUCUCAUGGUGACGAAAUAUCACUUUCUUUUUCUUUUUUGGAACACGAAGCUCAAACUUGCACAAGAACAGCAAGUGAAUUUCAAGGAAAAAAAAAUUACGCUCAAAGUUUCUUAAAAAAAUUCACAGUUGCUAUUUCGUCGCUCAUGAUCCGUCUCGUCUCUGUAAACAUCAUUCAACCGAUAUACGUAUUGUGAAUAAUGAAAAUAAACCUCUCUGUAUUAUAAUCCUUUCAAAAAAGAAAAGAAAAUGCUCUUAGCCUAACCCACAGUCUUUAUAAAAAAAAACAUAAAAUAAAACAAAAUCAGCAUCAAACUUUUUAAAAAAACACACACAUCUCUUUGCUUAGCUCCUUUACUUUGUGAUUGACGCUAGGAUGAGUCUCCAUUGUGUAUUCCCCACUCAAAAUGGUUUUUAGUCCCUCAUGUUUGAGAUUUGUGCAUAGCACUCAUGCCAUGGCUUUACUUAUGGGCACCUGUAUAAAAAAAAACACAGAAAAAUUUGUAGUUUAUGUUGCUUGUUAUGUCACAUUUAUCACGUAGUAGAAAUUUUUGAAUAACAAAGGAGUAUGAUAUAAAAAAAAAAAAAAUAAUGUUAAAUGUGUAAUUUGUUAAUUUUGGAAUCCUCAAAAUCCCUAAAAGGUGUAGUUGGAAUCUGUCUUCAGCGGGACGGGUUGUUUACAAAGAACACAAUUGGUGCAGAUUCUGUACAGUUACUUAUGUAAUAAAGUUGGAAGACUGUUUGUGG
rnacentral:lncRNA from 1 species